GACGAACGCUGGCGGCGUGCUUAACACAUGCAAGUCGAACGAUGAAGCCCAGCUUGCUGGGUGGAUUAGUGGCGAACGGGUGAGUAACACGUGGGCACCCUGCCCCAAACUCUGGGAUAACUCCUCGAAAGAGGUGCUAAUACCGGAUACGGACUAGACAGACAUCUGUACUAGUUGGAAAGUUUUUCGGUUUGGGAUGGGCCCGCGGCCUAUCAGCUUGUUGGUGAGGUAACGGCUCACCAAGGCUACGACGGGUAACCGGCCUGAGAGGGCGAACGGUCACACUGGGACUGAGACACGGCCCAGACUCCUACGGGAGGCAGCAGUGGGGAAUAUUGCGCAAUGGGCGAAAGCCUGACGCAGCGGCGCCGCGUGAGGGAUGAAGGUCUUCGGAUCGUAAACCUCUUUCAGUAGGGACGAAGCGAAAGUGACGGUACCUAAAGAAGAAGCACCGGCUAACUACGUGCCAGCCGCCGCCGUAA
rnacentral:rRNA from 1 species